CCUACGGGUGGCAGCAGUGAGGAAUAUUGGUCAAUGGACGAGAGGCUGAACCAGCCAAGUAGCGUGAAGGAUGACUGCCCUAUGGGUUGUAAACUUCUUUUAUAAAGGAAUAAAACGAGGCACGUGUGCCUCUUUGCAUGUACUUUAUGAAUAAGGAUCGGCUAACUCCGUGCCAGCAGCCGCGGUAAUACGGAGGAUCCGAGCGUUAUCCGGAUUUAUUGGGUUUAAAGGGAGCGUAGGUGGGUUGGUAAGUCAGUUGGGAAAUUUUGCGGCUCAACCGUAAAAUUGCAAUUGAUACUGGCAGUCUUGAGUACAGUUGAGGUAGGCGGAAUUCGUGGUGUAGCGGUGAAAUGCUUAGAUAGCACGAAGAACCCCGAUUGCGAAGGCAGCUUACGAAACUGUGACUGACAUUGAUGCUCGAAAGUGUGGGUAUCAAACAGGAUUAGAGACCCCGGUAGUC
rnacentral:rRNA from 1 species